UUAUUUGAAAUGUAAAUUGUUUAACUAAGAUUAUUAAUAGGUAUGUUCUUUAAAAUUAAAAAAUUUGGCGGUAUUUUAGUCUAUUCAGAGGAACCUGUUUUUUAAUUGAUAGUCCACGAUGAUUUUUACCUUGCCUUUAAAUUUACAUAUCGUCGUUUACAAAAAUUUUAGGAGAAUUAUAAUUUUUGGGAUUUUUUAUUUGAAAGUAUUUCAGAUCAAGGUGUAGUUUAUGUUGAGGUUAAAAUGGGUUACAUUAAUUUUAAUUAUAGAUUUUAUUUUAAAAAGGUAGAUGAAAAUGGAUUUGAUAGUAAGUUCUUUAUUUUUGGGAAUUGAUUUAGCUCUAAAAUAUG
rnacentral:rRNA from 1 species